UUUUUUUAAAGCCCUUUGGCAGAAGCCCAAAGAGCCCUUAGUGUGAUAGAAAUUUUUGACUUCUCAAAAUAAAGUCCAGAUCUCUACCCCCAGAAACUCAAAUUGAUUCACAAAACUCCCGCUUAAAAAUCUUUUCAUACAUUUCCAGUAACACUAAAAUAUCCCGCUGUCUUUCUGUGACACCUUCUUUUUAACCCCUGCAAUUCUUGACUGCCAGACUUUCAGACUUCCUGCCCAUGAGAUAAAAUCCAAGGGCUUUAGCCCCGAACGGAGCAAGCAUAUAUCCUGUGGAAAACACAUAGGUAGUUUCCCGCUUUGGGGGACUGAGAGCUUAAAUUGUUUUGCACAAAAUAUAAAUCUUAACUUUGUAUCGCUUCCGUCCUUGUUUCUCCACAGGCGUCCCUCUAGAAAGACUGAAUCUCAUGUCCCCUUUUCUAAGCCCGUCUUGAUUUUGUUAAUUCUUAUAGCUUUGUAUUUUUUAUGGCUUUAUAUUUUUUAGUCUUCAGUUCACCCAACAGUCUGUUUUUUUUCUUUUUUCUUUUUGGGCUUAGGCAUUCUGCUUGGACCCCCAGAGAAUUUGAGACACUACCAGAGAGAGACAGUACCACCACGUAGCCCACCAGGAGCCAGGAGGCAAACACCACGCCGUGGAACCUAAAGGCUAUGCUGAGGGUAGCCCAGAGAUAAGAUGGCUGCUUUCUCCCAGGAAGGGAGGAAAUGCCUGGUCCGGGAUCACAGAAAAAGCUAAGGCUCCCUGCCCCUUAGUGGGCAGGGGGCUAGUGAGGGAGCCCUGGCCCCUUCCAGGGUGAGCUGUCCUAAGUGACCUCGGGGAACCAGCAGUGCAGACUCAGUGCCCUGCAAGGCAGAAGACCCUAUUGUGCUUCCCGGGAUUGACUUUGGAGACUCCCCUCUAGGCAGAGGGCCGUGUCGCCUGCUGCAUGGUGCUGAUCUCUGUCCAAAGUACUUCCUGCACUUUCAAGGGGCCUGUGGGCUUCUCAAAGCAUCAAGACCUGUCGCCUGGAUCAGAAUGGGAGGGAGGCUGUCUGCUGCCCUGUCGUAUCCACACACCCGAGGAGGAAUGUCUGUGUGUGCACAGCAUACGCUGCACGCUGCACGGCGCUCGAAUGGAAGCCCUAAUGCGAAUGGAGGUUAGCCUGCUGUUAGAGACCUUGGCAGUGACCGCCGUGGGCAAUGAGCCAUGGGCCAACAAUAUUCAGUGCUGUAUACUGGAUUGGCCAGCAAUAAAAGGACUUAGUUUGUGCUCGAUUUCGCCCUGUUGACCCUGUCCUACCAACUGACUCACCCUGACGCGCCACAGGUCUUGGCUUUCACCUGUGUGGGUAAGGGAAGAAGAGAUUUAUAACGCUCACAGACAGCCGACUUACUGAGUUUUUCUAAGAAACAAAAUCGCUGCAGGUAGCUCUCCGUGUAAGGAGCAGAGAGGAUAAUAAUGAGCGCAGCUGGCAAUGUUUCAUGAUUAAAUUCUGGGGAAGACCUUGCCUGUAUAAUGCUAGAGGAGGAGGGAAGACGCUGAUGUAAGUGGGAGUCAAACUUCGUGUCAUUGCUGGGAGAGGGGCGCAGUCGGGCCCACAGAAUGGUUCCUGAGGAACAGGUUUAAAAGUGGCCAUGAGCUGACCAGUGAUGAGAAUGUUUUGUGAGUCAGUCAUCAGGAUGGAUCCACUUCAGCCCCACCAAACUCCUCAGGACAAAAAAGAUGAGUGCCUUUCAACCCUUUCUAGAAUGUUUCAACGUGAUUUGGGUCAUAAUGGACCCUCGUUCUUCUCCAGUCUUCUCGUCUUAUUACCCCUCACUGAGAGGAGACUGUAAUGAGGCAAUGAAUCUUCUCAUCAGAUGGUAGUUCGUCAUGACAUCUUUAUAUAGAUAUUAAGUGAGAGAAGCUGUGUGAGUGACAGCAAUCGAGAGGAGGCAGAGAACUGCACUCAUUCAGAUCUCCCGUGUCGAGGCUCACAGCAGAAAGGGCAGCGUUAGCUCUGUGGGGUGUGCACUGCCAAGAUGUAUUUGUAUUUCCAAGCAUCGGCCUUCCCUCAGUUUAUGGAUAUCGAUUAUAUUAUUAGUGAAGCAAUGAAUAAGUCAAGACCGGUAUGACUGACUGAAAGCUCAGAAUGCCAGGUCUGAAUGGACGACACGUGUGCAUGGGGUGUCUGAAUUCAGUGUCCUGAGUAAAGCUGGGCUGUGCUUGUGAGCUCUGCUGUGUCUAAUGGAACUGUGCCUUUGGCUUUUCCAGUGUUCCGAUGUGUGCAGAAGUAAAAGGCAAAAAGGCUCUGCCUCCUUCUGUUUUGAGCCAGGAAAGAGGCUAAGGACGAGAAUGAAGACCAGAGCAGACUGCAGUACUCUCUGAGAUGAGGAGAUGAGGUGUUUGCUAUAGCCAUUGUGGAUAUGAGCUUAAUCUGGCAAUCAAACGUAACACGGGCUGUAUUCUUGGGCCUCCAUGCAAUACAGAAGUGUAUGUAUCAACCAAGAAGCCUGUAAGUGAACACAAGCAAAAUGGCGUAUUUCUCUCUCAAAUACAACCAGUGAGUGGUUCCAGUUUUCUUCAAACAUCGGGACUUGCUUGCCAGCUCUACACUUGUGCUUGGUAUUUACAGGACGUCCCAAGACAUGUGAGUAAUAUUCAGAAUUAUUCUGAUCAUUUGCUGAUUGAGCACAUCCCAGAAAGGGAUCGAAUUAUUCCGAAGAAAAAAAUAAAAUUGUUCUUAGGCUGUUCCUAUUCAUGGAGGUUUUUAUUAGUAAUGAACCACUGUGUUCAUCGAUAAACAUGUGCAUCUAUUAAUAGAGAAGAAAAGGCAAAUAUUUACCAAUGACUAUUACUAUAUUGUAAGUCAUCAACAAUGACAACAUGCUGGACUCUGAGGUAGUCAUACCAGAAGAUGUUUCAAGUGCCCCUCUUGGAAAGGGGAUAAAAGGUAGACAUGUGUAGCAGAUACUGUGCACUAGAGUCAGCCACGCACACAUAUUUUCUUAUAUUGUAAUCAAUGACUCAUGGUCUAAACAUAAACACAAUGCAACCGCAGAUAAAUUAUUAGAGGCAUAUACUAAUUAUGAAAAUAAAUAUUUGACCGCAAAUGCUACUAAUACAUGCAGAAAAUCUGAAAACAUAUUAAGAAAUUAUUGUCAUAAAGAGGUAUAUAAUCUUUAUCCAAGUCGACAUAUUGAGUAUAAUUAACGACUUAAACUCUCUAACCUUUCAUAACGAUAUGAAUCUUAAAAAACAAAUAAUGAAAGGAGACAUGUAGAAGUAACUGGAAAAAUAUCAGUCUUUUUAUUAUCAUUGCUGUUUUGUACUCCCUGCAUGGCUGCUGCCUGACACAUUGUUUCUUGACUGGGGGGUCCAUGCUACCUUAUCCUCAUGUUUAACAAACAUGGAAACUGAUAUAACAGGAGCCAACAGCUCUUGUCUUGGUUUGGGUGGCCUUCAUAAGACGCUCCUGUCUUGACAACAGCAGGAAUAGGCUCUAGUCAGGUCAACUCAAGACGAUCUAUGUUGAACUCAACGUGCUCAUGAAUACCAGGUUGAGGAUUUCCACAAUUAAGAGAGAACACAGAGAGACAGGCUAACACAAAGUCUGUUGGGUAACUUCAGUACACCGGGAUCUUGUGCUAGGAUUUUGUGAUGAAGAGUUACGUAAAAAUUCUAAGUGACUCAUAUAGUUAGGUAAUAAAAGUAGGAAAUGCGAGAGAAAGAAAAGGACAGUGUUGGAUCAGUGAUGAGCAUUGAUGAUAUAUGAUCCAGGGAUCAUGAGUACAGGUGUAGGAGUCUGCGGCCUACACCCGAAAGCACAUGGUAUCACGUGUGGAAUUGUGGUAUCAAUAUUGGCUGUAGCAUAGUGUGUUACAAUUCUUAGGUUCACAUGUUUUUAGUCUACUUAUACUUAGAUUAUACUGAAGGAAAGAGGGUGAAACAUUUUCCAAUUAUGAAAAUAAUACGAAGCAGUAAUACUAGCUGUACAAAUAUCAAGGUUCAGAAAUCCACUAGUAACAAAUGACCAGAGGUAUAAUCCCUUAGGUAAGGGUUCUGUGUGCUGUUUAAAAUGGUGACCAAAGUUCUUGCUAGGCUAAGAACCCAGGUCUCCUGUUUAUUGUCUCGAGAAGAAUGUAUCAAAGAUUCAUAUAACUAGAUUGGUAAAAUAAAAAAGGAAUAAUACAAGGGUCUUUGCAUAGAACCUAAUUAUGUUUAUAACCUGUUCUUUUCAUCUGUGCAUGUAUUCCCAAGUCAACUUCCCCAUCUGUCUGGAUCACAAGGUCCAUGGCUAGCCUAGGGUCUUGGGAGCAGAGUAGGCCAUGUAAGUGUAGUUCAUGUUCUUGUGUUCUUAUAGCUUCUGCUUGAAUUAUGAAUUACUCAAGCAUUAUACCCACAAUUAAUGACAGAUACAGCAUUUCC